AGUUACAAGGAAAAGAAAAUACAAAAUAAUAAUAAUAAUAAUAGUAAUAAUAAAUUGGGGGUGGGGCAUCAUUGAUGGGCUGGAUGAAAGUCACCAAUGGGCCAGACGUGGCCUGCGGGCCGCCACUUGAAUAGCCCUGCUUUAUACACACUGUGUUUGCUGUGUUCACAGUUUGAACUGUUGACAAUCAUACAGAAGAAAUCCUACAACAAUCUUCUUUUAAAGAAAAAAAUGUCUAAAACAACAUAAAAAACACCUCCAACAGUUAUUUCAUUCACUUAUGCUCAUCUUUUAUCUUUGUGCACAUUUCCUGUUCUUGUCCUCUCUGUGAUCAGUUUAAUUUAUGCACUCUGGCUCAAAUAAACAGCGACAGCAGCCAAAUCCAAACGCCCGAUUUAAACAGUUUAAAUGUUUAGCUCCUGCAUGCAACAUUACAUUAGCUGAAAGGUUAAAUGGUGUUGCUCAUCUUGUUUUAUUGAAGUAAACUAAUUCCUGUUGACUAAGAAAGCAAAUCAAACAAGACAAAUUCCCUUUUCUGCUAAAAUUCAGCGUGGAUGCUAAGUGCUAAGCUAAGAACACUUACUGAACACUAAUUCACACUAUUUUCUUUUAAGUAAGCUGAAAGGGAAAACAACCCCCCCUCACUGGUUUACAGAUAAUAAAUUAGAAUGCAGGGUGUGGUCUGAAGGUGGCAGUAAAGAACAUGCUGUUAAUUCGUUAAAGAUACUGUCCAGCUGAUAAACAACUGCAGAGGAAAUCCAUAAAAGGAAGACAGAGAUGGCUCUGCUUUAGAAAUAACCCUUUUAUCUGCGAGGAUAUUUGGGAAGAUGUGUGCCAGCUCAGACUGAAAACAGCUGAACUGGCCAACAACCAACACUUCUUCAAAUGGCAAUUAUUGGCUCUUGGACCGAUGUUCAUCCAGGGAAAUCAUUUGCAACUGAGUCAAAUAAACUUCAGAAUAAUUCACCUCCAGCAGCUGCAACCUCCAGCAGAAAACUUGGCACACUAAAAGGCAGUGAGACAUUAGGGUUUGAAGCAUGGAAACUUCAAAUCUUGUGCUGUGAUGUCAUCAAACAGCAUUCUUCCUGGAGCUUAAUUCCGGCUUUACGUGCGGGUGGAGAUGAAGAAGAGUUUCACUUUUCAAUGGUUGAAGCACUGGACGGAUGGGAGGGAAGUUUCUCUGCUUCUCCAGGUCGAAUCCAACUUUUACCGUAACUCCUCCACUUUUGUAUAAACAUCGAACCAAUUGCAUCUUUAAAGCUCAUCCCAGCAGUAACACCAUCUUCUCCUCAUCAUAAACUGCGCUUUGGUUACUUCACUAAGUGGGAUGUUGAUAGAUGAAACAUGGUUUGAGCCACUCAGGAUAAUUACUGUUUAAUGUAGUCCCAGUUCCCACAGCGAUGGCACAGGGGCUCUGCCCCCCCACCCCCCUCCUAUUCAUGACCACACAUGGGGUGCCUUAAGGGGGGAGUCCAAAUCCGCUGUC